rnacentral:rRNA from 1 species
CCUACGCGAGGCAGCAGUGAGGAAUAUUGGUCAAUGGACGCAAGUCUGAACCAGCCAUGCCGCGUGCAGGAUGACGGCUCUAUGAGUUGUAAACUGCUUUUGUACGAGGGUAAACCCCGAUACGUGUAUCUGGUUGAAAGUAUCGUACGAAUAAGGAUCGGCUAACUCCGUGCCAGCAGCCGAGGUAAUCCGGAGGAUCCGAGCGUUAUCCGGAUUUAUUGGGGUUAAAGGGUGCGUAGGCGGUUUGAUAAGUUAGAGGUGAAAUGUCGGGGCUCAACCCCGAAACUGCCUCUAAUACUGUUGGACUAGAGAAUAGUUGCGGUAGGCGGAAUGUAUGGUGUAGCGGUGAAAUGCUUAGAGAUCAUACAGAACACCGAUUGCGAAGGCAGCUUACCAAACUAUAUCUGACGUUGAGGCACGAAAGCGUGGGUAGCAAACAGGAUUAGAUACCCCAGUAGUC